CAAUGUCAGAAAGCUUUUUAUUUUCUUUAUUUGAAGAAAUGUUAUUUUCAAGAUCCAUUUCCAUGGUCCACGGUGCUGCAGUCCGCUCUACAGCUGAAUCACGUUCGAGAACCAUGAAGAGAUCAUCUGGCUCGUGGGAAUUUAAGGUUCCAGUCUUAUUGUGUGAACCUUCUUGCUUGCUGUUUGUGAGUUCAGUAGCACCAACAAUGUCUGAAACCAUACUUAUGUCAGCUGCUGAUUGAGAAUGGAAUUGAUCUUCCGAUGAUCGUGAUUGAAUCAUGAAAGAGUCAUCGCCCAAAAUAUCUUUCUUGUUUUUCCCUACACCAUUAAAAGUUCUAAAGUCACGGUAUCGAUCUUCAUUUGUUGGUUUAUCAGAUUGAUUGACAAUGAGCCAGUCCUCUUCUUUCUGACAUUUAGUGAGGGAAGUUUCUAGGCCAGGCACAGUUGAAUCAGAUUAGCCACUUAAUUCUUCAUUUCUCCGAGAAAACAACAACUCCUCAUCUGUGCUAAUUUUUUUCUUGAUAGAUGAAGCUGCAUCCUUCCCUUCCUUAAAGUAUUCAACCCGAUUCCGGCCCUUGCUGUCCAAUUCUCUCCCAGCAACAACAAAGGAAUCAUCCUCAAAAUUCUUGUUCACAAUAUAUUCCUCCUGAAACUUAAUAGGCUGUUUUUCCGUAUCAGGGGUAGAAUCAUCAUCUCUCAAAAGGAGAUUCUGGAAAGCAUCCCAGUUGUUAUUGCCUUUUAUGCCAUUGGAAUCAGCAUCAUCUGAACCAAUUAGUUUGUCAGGAUGCUUUGCGCUAUGUUGUUUUUUAUGGUGACGGGAACUUGACUUGUGUCUUCUCUCCAGUGACACUACAGCUUCCUCUACCUGGUUUUUCAGGGAAUCUCCAUUGAUAAAUUCUUCCUCAUUGGACAAACUCCCCUCUGUGACACUACCUUUUUCACCAUCUCCAUUAGAGGUUAUAUAGUUUAUAUUGCGUAUAACUACUUUCCUCGAAGACUUCUUUCCGUGCUUCUUUUUGUGAAGAUUCUCUGUUGAAGAACUCUUUCUGCUUUCUGCCGCUGAAUCAGUAAUUCUUCCUUUCUCUUUCUAGUUUCUUCUUCCUGUUAACAAAAUUGGGCAGUAGAGGUGAACAACAGACUGGGAUGCUCAAAUUACUUGUGAAGUUUCAACUAAAAGCCAAACAAAAUACGAAGAAAAAGUUCCAUAUAUAUAUUCGGUGCUACGGAAAGUGUUGCUUUUUUUUUUCUGAGUCAUGCAAUGAAAGAACUUCUCAUGUGUACUUGGCAGAAAGAAAGUGUUGGUUUUAUUUGCCAUACAAUCAUAAUCUCCAAGACACAGGAAAAGAUGAAGUGGUGAACAUGAAACUUCUACUUCAUGGAAAUAUACAGGUAGCAGUUAAAAUCAAGAAAUAUCAAAGCAAUUGAAAACUCAUGACCCAGUUAGAAUUAUCAAAAUCACUUGCAGUUUGAUUUGAAAUGUGAGGCACAAGUGAACUCACUUAAGGUGAUAAAUUCCAAAAUCUACCAUCUUUAAACCAAAAUCUCAACAUCAAGAUUCAUGUGAGGACAGAUAAUGUUCAUUACAUAAUUAAGCGAUUUUGCUCCUAAUUUUCAUUUUCAGCCCACAACUUCCUUAGUUGAGUAUAAGAUAGAGUCUUCAGCAUAUUUGGCAAAUCGGCUUAACAAUUGAUAAAACAAACACUGCAAAUGGGAUGUGCAAAAUAAUUAUAGGUUAAAGUUUUAACAAUUCUUAUAACUUUGUGAGCUGUUUAGGCUAAGAAAACUUUUUUCUACCUUCUAUACCAAACUAACCAACAUUUGGUUGGUCCCAUAUCUAACAAAAAAAAUUAAGCAUUUCCAGAAGUGAAGUAAUGUUUAAAAUAUGCCUCUUUCUUUCACUUGAUCCUUCAAGAAAAUUGCUAAAUCAUAACAGUUAUUAAUUUACCUUAACAGUUUUGCUCUUCGUAACUGUAGUUCUGCUUCCAGGUGAUACUUUGCUUCUUGACAUGAUAUCGGAUUUGGUUUUCCCAAGGGAAGCAUUUUGAGCCUUAGACUUUGCAUCUUUACUUGAAACUUUCCCAGUUCGCACUCCAGGAGUUUUCGUACCAGCUCCCUUAGGAUUAGAUAGACUAUUUUUAUCAUUUCCAAUGUCAGAAAGCUUUUUAUUUUCUUUAUUUGAAGAAAUGUUAUUUUCAAGAUCCAUUUCCAUGGUCCACGGUGCUGCAGUCCGCUCUACAGCUGAAUCACGUUCGAGAACCAUGAAGAGAUCAUCUGGCUCGUGGGAAUUUAAGGUUCCAGUCUUAUUGUGUGAACCUUCUUGCUUGCUGUUUGUGAGUUCAGUAGCACCAACAAUGUCUGAAACCAUACUUAUGUCAGCUGCUGAUUGAGAAUGGAAUUGAUCUUCCGAUGAUCGUGAUUGAAUCAUGAAAGAGUCAUCGCC
rnacentral:lncRNA from 1 species